rnacentral:rRNA from 1 species
GGAGCUUGCGGCUUAAUUUGACUCAACACGGGAAAACUCACCCGGACCGGACACUAUGAGGAUAGACAGAUUGAUAGCUCUUUCUUGAUUUGGUGAUUAGUGGUGCAUGGCCGUUCUUAGUUCGUGGUAUGAAUUGUCUGGUUAAUUCCGAUAACGAACGAGAUUCUAUCCUGCUAAAUAGUUCAUGUGUAACUUUGUGUGGUGGAUAUGUCAGCUGACUUCGGUUGGUUGUGUGUUACCAUAUGAGCAUGUGGUACUUCUUAGAGGGAUUAGUGGUUAGCCAAGCCACACGAGAAAGAGCAAUAACAGGUCUGUGAUGCCCUUAGAUGUUCGGGGCCGCACGCGUGCUACACUGACAGUAGUAGAGAGUUUGGUAUCCUUACGCGAAAGUGUUGGGCAAACUUUUCAAUUACUGUCGUGCCUGGGAUCGGGGUUUGUAAUUAUCCCCCGUGAACCAGGAAUUCCUAGUAAGCACAAGUCAUCAGCU